CUUCCUUCUUGCCUGAGCUCGUUGUGUCACACAUCUUGCACGUGUCGUCGUGCAGUUGAAUUCGAGAUGGUUUCCCAGUGGACCGAAGGCAGAGCAGUAGACGUGGGAUGAACGAAGCAAGCGACUUGGUGUCCUUGCAAUUGGCAGAUGACCAUGUCAUAUCAUCAGCACUGAUCCCAUGGUAACUGAAGUGAUAUGGGAAGCAGUAGAUGGGCUAUGGACGGAUGCUAUGAGUCUAGACUGACUUGAGUAACUUGGGGCCCUGGCGAUGACUGGAGACCUGUGUGCCCUCCUCAAGAUGCGACUGGGUUUCAGCAUUGGAGUCAUGCUUAAAUGUUUAAAGCAAAAAAUGUGAUUGAUAGCCAAUGAAAAAUUGUUACUUUGCAGAGUUUUACAGCAACAAUACAAAGUCUUAGACAAGUUUACUGGUGAAGACAAUUUGUCAAGGAAAAAAGAGAUUGUGGCUUUCACAGAACAACACCAAGAAACUGAAAGGCUAUUUUUUUUAGUAUGCCUGUCAUCCAUAUCACCAUUUAAUUCUCGUCAGUAACAGAUUUAUAAAGUAUGGUGAUUGGUGCCGUGGUAUUAACCUGCAUACCCGUCAGAACUGUUGGAUUCUUGUGAAACAUUAUUUUUUUUUUUUGCUUUAAUCAGUUUGGCGGUGCGAGAUGGUUGAAUUGUAGAGGAAAGGAUGUCCUUGUACUGUCUUUGCAAGAUUGGAAAAUGUUAUAACAUAGCUGAUUUCUAUUAAACAGAAAACAAACACUA